AUUACACAAGGCAGUAAUUGUGUCGGCGCAUCAGCUGGAUUUGGAGGUUGGGAUAAAUACACAGUGGAUAAACAUGACUUUAAAUUUCCAAACGAUUUGUCGAUUGAGGUAGGCUCAAAAACCCGAAUGAAACACUUGGUAUUGCAGCUGCAUUAUACAACUAAGCAAACAAACCAGACCAAACCUGCUGCCAAAGUUGUUUUCCAACUUUCUGAUUAUCCGACUCGGUAUCAAUUCCAAUUGUAUACGAUUGGUAACAGAGGAUAUAUCCCAAGUAACACAUCUAAAGGGUUUCUGACAAAUGUUGCGUGUCGAUGGGAAUUGCCUAGUGCAAAAGCUUACCGUUAUCGAGUACACACACAUCAUAUAGAACUGGUAUGAAGUACUUGGAGGACCAAAACGAUUAGAACAUGGGGAUAUACUGGCUGCUAGAUGUCUUUACAUCAAUUCAAAUGCAAAGGAUAUUCAUUUUGGAAUGGAAAACGACAACGAGAUGUGUUCCUUCAGUCUGGAACUGGGGUAUAGGAAGGAAGAUCAUUCACAUUUUGGGAAACAAUUUUACUGUGAAGCAGAAUCGCCUACUUUCCGGUUCAGAAACUUUCCAAGUCUGAACUUUUUUUAAUCAGUGAUAUAAAUAAAGAUAUCAA